GUUGCAGAAAGAUGCUCCACCAACAUGAUGGGGCAAUAACAUAUUCUGUGGCAUGUGAUGUCUGGCCAGACCACGCACGGAAUUGCUUCAUCAUAUGGCAAGCAGCUGGUAGUCCCAACAGUCACUGCACCACCAUUUUUAGUUUUUUGCUUUUAGCUGGCCAGCCACAGCCACGGUCAUGAUCGAAACAUGAGAACACUGCUUUCAAAAUCAGAUUUUGGUGGCCCUUUGGAUGCCCCAGGCGAUGGUUGGCCUUGCUUUUUCUUCAGCUGUUGGAUGAAAAUUCAGAUGCAGGUGAGAGAGAGAGAGAGAGAGAGAGAGAGAGAGAGAGAGAGAGGUAGGUUCGUUACGUACGUUCGUUUGUUAGUAGUACGUACCUAAACCGAAAACCGAAAACCAAAAAACGUAAAAGGUUAAACGUUACGNNNNNNNNNNNNNNNNNNNNNNNNNNNNNNNGAGAGAGAGAGAGGUGUUUCCAGCCUUGUUUGAUAGCUCCAAAACGCCAAAACAAAAGUAAGUUCAUGGAUGAGAUUCGAGUUGUGUCAAUGGAGAAGAAGAGAUGUUAGACGAUGAAGUGGAGUUCCGCACCUUUGUAUCACGGGCGUUUAAUUCUCGUUUGCCGGAGAGAUGAAGAAUCCAAGGAAACAAGCAACGAGUGCUGUCUCCUACAGAUAAGGAUGACGAACCUUGUCAUGUCAAAAGCAAAUCGUAAGAGUGAGUGGUCCCUCUCAGUGACCAAACUCCCAUAUCAUCAACACAGUAAAAGAAUAGGCGAACAUUGACUCUUCAGCUCUCUGUUGUUAUUGGCGAGAGAUUUUUUCUAUCCACCCCCCUCCUCAUGCGAGCACACUCUUCUUUUCCGGUGAACAGGGAACCAAAGUAAGGGCUAUCAGGUGCAGAUUUUUACAUGUGUUUUCCUGCUAAUAUUACCAAUUAAUUUUCAAGCUGGAAGCAGUUGAUAUCAUAAAGUUCAGACAGUACAUGAAAUUUUCCAUCAAAGGAU
rnacentral:lncRNA from 1 species